CUUGAUGGAGCCGAGCCAGAGGGGCUGCUCGGCCGUGUGCUCCUGGCCGUACGUGGCCAGCAGCGCUUGCGCCUC
rnacentral:antisense_RNA from 1 species